GAUGAACGCUGGCGGCGUGCCUAAUACAUGCAAGUCGAGCGAACGGACGAGAAGCUUGCUUCUCUGAUGUUAGCGGCGGACGGGUGAGUAACACGUGGAUAACCUACCUAUAAGACUGGGAUAACUUCGGGAAACCGUAGCUAAUACCGGAUAAUAUUUUGAGCCGCAUGGUUCAAAAGUGAAAGACGGUCUUGCUGUCACUUAUAGAUGGAUCCGCGCUGCAUUAGCUAGUUGGUAAGGUAACGGCUUACCAAGGCAACGAUGCAUAGCCGACCUGAGAGGGUGAUCGGCCACACUGGAACUGAGACACGGUCCAGACUCCUACGGGAGGCAGCAGUAGGGAAUCUUCCGCAAUGGGCGAAAGCCUGACGGAGCAACGCCGCGUGAGUGAUGAAGGUCUUCGGAUCGUAAAACUCUGUUAUUGGGGAAGAACAUAUGUGUAAGUAACUGUGCACAUCUUGACGGUACCUAAUCAGAAAGCCACGGCUAACUACGUG
rnacentral:rRNA from 1 species